UGUUAUUCUUGUGUGUUUUACAACAUGUCCAGUUACAUGAUGUAGAACGAAACUUUGUGAGAAUUGAAAAGGCUAUGUACCAGUUAUAAAGCACCAAAUACUACCUAUACACCAAAAGAAGAGAUUACUUCAGUAAACUUUUUCAAAUCUUGAGUGUAGAAAAGGGAAGAAAUUGGAUGGAGAAAACAGCAAGAUGCACAAGAGCCUUUAGGACCUUGUGCCUUGUCAUAGGAAAUAUGAAAAAUUUAUCAUUAACAACUAGAAGUUAAAAAGGAAGAGAACUGCUAAUUUUAUAUUCAAUGAUAGCCAUUCAGAACUGAGAGUUGUUAUUGGACACAAGUCACGAAUAAUAUGGAUUGAAGGAUCCUUAACAUUUCAAGUGCCACUGUCCAUGUUUAAGGAAGACCAAAUUGACUUCUUGAUGGAGCUGUUGAUGGAAGUUUAUUGCAAGAAAAAUCCAGUGAAAACUAUCGACUACGUUCUGAAAGUCUUGCUUCCAAUGACAUUAAUCAAAGUUCACAUGGAAAUUACAGGAAAAAGCUAUGAAGAAAGUGAUAAGAUUAUGUAUGAUCAAAUGUUUGAUGUUCUGUCUGAGAACGAUACCCAAAAUUGAGAACUUACUGUGAGAUUUACAGUUAUGUCAUAGUUUCAAGAUAUUUCAACUGUCAAUUUUAGAAUUAUGUCAUUGUUUUAAGGUAUUCCAACUGUCAGUUUUAGUGAAAAAGGAUUUGUCACCUUUUUUUGUAGUUGCUUGGAAUUGUAUUACUCAUAUAAAGAGAAUCACUUUAAUUAUACCAGUUAUUUAGUAUUAUGUUUUACUUUUAAGAUACAAUGUAGCAAAUUUAAAUGCCAUAAAUCUUCUGUUUCAGUCAUGACAUUAAGAUAAUGCCAGUACACAAGUGAUUAAAAAUAUAUAGUAAAAAUAUUUCAAUUUAAUUUCAUAUGUUCUGUAAAA